rnacentral:rRNA from 1 species
UCCUUAGAUGUUCUGGGCAGCACGCGCGCUACAAUGGUCUUCGCAAACGGAUGCAUUCUCGAAGGAGAAUGCCAAUCUUGGAAUCUAUGCCUUGGUCGGGACAGUUGCUUGCAAUUUUUCGACUCGAACCAGGAAUUCCUUGUAAUCGUGAUUCAUCACAUCACGAUGAAUACGUCCCUGCCCUUUGUACACACCGCCCGUCGCUCCUACCGAUCGAAGAGUUAGGUGAAUUGUUUUGAUCGAUAAGAUUUGACUAUGGUCAACUCUCGUUGGGAAAUUCUGUGAAUCUGACUGUUUAGAGGAAGGAAAAGUCGUAACA